rnacentral:rRNA from 1 species
UUUAUCGGAGAGUUUGAUCCUGGCUCAGGACGAACGCUGGCGGCGUGCCUAAUACAUGCAAGUCGAGCGGACAGAUGGGAGCUUGCUCCCUGAUGUUAGCGGCGGACGGGUGAGUAACACGUGGGUAACCUGCCUGUAAGACUGGGAUAACUCCGGGAAACCGGGGCUAAUACCGGAUGGUUGUUUGAACCGCAUGGUUCAGACAUAAAAGGUGGCUUCGGCUACCACUUACAGAUGGACCCGCGGCGCAUUAGCUAGUUGGUGAGGUAACGGCUCACCAAGGCGACGAUGCGUAGCCGACCUGAGAGGGUGAUCGGCCACACUGGGACUGAGACACGGCCCAGACUCCUACGGGAGGCAGCA